GGCAUACUCCUUCCUGUUAAUUACCAGCCUUCGCUACAGAUGGAAAUGUCAGUCAGCCUCACAGGUAAGACCACGCGUGGAGAAGGUCGCCACAGCUCUGCACUCUGUCCACCUACAGGACUUCCUCUUGCCAUGACCUAA
rnacentral:lncRNA from 1 species